rnacentral:tRNA from 1 species
AGGAUAAUAGUUAAAAAUAGCGUUUAAUUUGCAUUUAGAAAGUACUGCCACUCAGUUUAUCUUU